UCCCUCCUAAAAGCACUUACUUUGCCUGCUCUCAGUGGCUGGGUGAGUUGUCAAGGAAGGGUAAAGAAAUACAUUACCUUUGGGUGAGAUGGGAGCUACACUGUGCUCCUGAAUCUCAAUCCGUGGUGUGACAUUU
ensembl:snoRNA